UUAACAUUGGAGAUUUCGAUGGUAAAUCAUAUUAUAAGGUUUAUAACGCUACAUACGAUCCUUAUUCAUUCAACAUCACUACAUCAGAUGGCCAUCGAGGUCAAUUCUGGAUGCCUUAUCUCGAUAAAAAAACAAGUAAUACAGCCGUCUUAGCAAGUUGUGUUAAAAUUGAUGCUUCAACUGUUGAUGUCAAAGUUUGGUUCGUCGCAAAGAAUGGAGCAACGACAGUUACCCAAGAAAUUAAGGACAUUGUUAAAUCAUUGACUGGACAAGAAUUAAAAUCUGUCUGUCAAGGAAGCUUCUGUUGAUCGAUUUAACUGUUGUACUGGAAAACAAUUCUGUCCAAUUUCAUUAUAUCUA